UAGAUACCCUAUUAUUUUAAAUGUAAAUGUAGAAUUUUGAGUAGUAAUAGUUAUGUUCUUGAAACUCAAAGAAUCUGGCGGUAUUUUAGUCCUUUCAGAGGAAUCUGUCCCGUUAUUGAUAAUACACAAUUUACUUUACUUAUUUUUGUAAUUUCAGUUUGUAUACCGCCGUCAUCAGUUUAUCUUGUGAAAGUUUAAUUUUCUUGAAAUUUUAUUGGAUUAUAUGUCAGGUCAAGGUGCAGCUUAUAGAUAAGUGGAGAUGGAUUACAAUAAAUUUAUUUAUAUGGAUUUUUGGUUGAAAUAUUUAAUUGAAGGUGGAUUUGAAUGUAAUUUUAUUUAAUUAGUUGAUUUGAUUUUGGCUCUAGAAUAUGCACACAUCGCCGGUCGCUCUU
rnacentral:rRNA from 1 species